UAUAAAUCUACCCUAAGCAGUAUAAUACAUGUUAUAUUAGUUUUCGACAUACGAAACCCUCUCCACUCUUAAGAACAAGAUCAAAUUAGGGUCUUCAUCAAAGAUCAAGAAUUCAAGCCUCUAAGUCCAAGAAUUCCAAGAAACUGAUUAAGAUUCAGAUUCCAUUUUUCUAACUACAAAAUCUAAGGUACGUGAAAUUUUCCUAAACUACAUAGGAUGGUUGAAAAUACUUUGAAUAUGGUUUAAAGUGUAGAAAUCAUGAUUUUAUCAACCUGACCCUUCUCAAUACUUAACUAAAAACAGAAACUUUAGCAGUACUACUAGUAGAUCUUACAAUUCCUUCUCUUAUACUUUAACAUCAUUAAAUAAUACCUAUAGCAUCUACCGUCUGCUUAUUAAUAAAUAGUUUUAGCAUUUUUUUGUUUUAUACUGUUUUUGUUGGCUGAUUAUUUGUAAUUUUUAGGAUAAAAUGAACGUUGUCAUAGCUACUGCUCUUUCGGGAUCAACAGAUAAUUCAUCAGAAGAUCAAGAACUUGAUAUAAAUCGUAAGUACUUUGAUAUUGUGGGUGGAGAA
rnacentral:lncRNA from 1 species